AUACCUUUCUCGGCCUUUUGGCUAAGAUCAAGUGUAGUAUUUGUUCUUAUCAGUUUAAUAUCUGAUACGUGGGUCAAUGGCUCACCCGGUAUUAAAUUAAUUUUUUUAGGGGGAGGGGUCACCACGGUAGCUUGCUAUUGGGCCUCUUGUUGUGUUGCCUUGGCGUUGCACUAUAGCCUGGGCUUGGCACACCCCAC